GUUGCUAGACAGUGCUCAUUUUUUGGUAUAAUAAUAGGUACAGGAUAAGGUUACAUGCAGGUAUUAAACUCUUUUCACCAUUUGCUGGAUACUUGCUUUAGAUAUGAGAGGUAAUAUAUCACCCUUUAGACCCCUAUAGCUACGCAUGAGUAAAGCUGGUGCAUUGUGACAGGUGAAUGACACAAGAUAAGAUUAGGAGAGUUGUUGUGACUUAGAUGAUGAUCAGAUCACAUUUUAUGACCAACUUGUG